AUGUUGAACCGACCAAAGGAUUUAUUCGCUGAAGGAUGGUCUCGCGUCCGAUUAGGCAGUUGGUGAGGUAACGGCUCACCAAACCAACGAUCGGUAGCCGAACUGAGAGGUUGAUCGGCCACAUUGGGACUGAGACACGGCCCAGACUCCUACGGGAGGCAGCAGUGGGGAAUAUUGGGCAAUGGGCGCAAGCCUGACCCAGCAACGCCGCGUGAAGGAUGACGGUCUUAGGAUUGUAAACUUCUUUAAUCGGGGAAGAAUAAAUGACCUACCCGAAGAAUAAGCCACGGCUAACUACGUGCCAGCAGCCGCGGUAAUACGUAGGUGGCAAGCGUUAUCCGGAUUUACUGGGUGUAAAGGGCGUGUAGGCGGCUCUGCAAGUCAGAUGUGAAAUUCCCGGGCUCAACUCGGGCGCUGCAUCUGAAACUGCAGAACUUGAGUGCUGGAGGGGAUAGCGGAAUUCCUAGUGUAGCGGUAAAAUGCGUAGAUAUUAGGAAGAACACCGGUGGCGAAGGCGGCUAUCUGGACAGUAACUGACGCUGAGGCGCGAAAGCGUGGGGAGCAAACAGGAUUAGAUACC
rnacentral:rRNA from 1 species